GCCACUCUAGAUUCCGUAACAAGUAGCAAUCAGCACUUCGUUGCAGACAAUUUUGUCUGUUCAAUGAUUAAAUAUUAAUAUAUCAUUUUGUUUAUUGAGUAAAUUUCAAAAUUACAUUAAUAACAAUAUAAUGGCUGGAAAAGUAAAUAAAGAAGCAGAGAACUUAAAAGGUCUUUCAAAAUAUUUUAAUAGUGUAACUCUACAGGGACGAGCAAAUGUAGCUAUGGCAACGUAUGCUGGUUUAGCCGUACUUGGAAUUUAUCUUUAUUUUAAACCAAAGAAAACUGCGACUAAAUAAGAAGAUGAAAG